rnacentral:rRNA from 1 species
AUCUACGGCCAUACCACCCUGACCGCAUCCACUCUCUUCUGAUCUCAGAAGCUAAGCAAGGUCAAGCCUGGUUAGUACUUUGAUGGGGGCUGGGGAUU